rnacentral:tRNA from 1 species
GCCCGCGGUGGCUCAGAUGGAUAGAGCGUCUGCCAUGUAAGCAGGAGAUCCCAGGUUCGAGUCCUGGUCGGGGCA